rnacentral:rRNA from 1 species
AUUGAACGCUGGCGGCAGGCUUAACACAUGCAAGUCGAGCGAGCGGUGGACGGGUGAGUAAUGCCUGGGAAACUGCCUGACGGAGGGGGAUAACUACUGGAAACGGUAGCUAAUACCGCAUACCAUCAGAUGGGCCCAGAUGGGAUUAGUUAGUGGGUGGGGUAAUGGCUCUCCUAGGCGACGAUCCCUAGCUGGUCUGAGAGGAUGACCAGCCACACUGGAACGGAGACGCGGUCCGGACUCCUACGGGAGGCAGGAGUGGGGAGUAUUGCACAGUGGGGUCAAGCCUGGUGCAACCAUGCCGCGUGUGUGAAGAAGGCCUUCGGGUUGUAGAGCACUUUCAGCGAGGAGGCGGUACUCGCAGAAGAAGCACCGGCUAACUCCGUGCCAGCAGCCGCGGUAAUAC